ACGUAGAGAAAAACAGAGCUAAGACAAACCAAGGCUAACUGCUGAUUUAAGUCCCUAGAUCCAGCUAUUCUUGAAGCCUUCUCAGUUACACAAACCAAUAAUACUUACUUUUUUUACUUAAACUAUUUUCUGUUUCCAUUACUUACAACCAAAAUAGUCCUGAUUAAUACAUAGAAUAAUGUGAAUUUUUAUUUUUAUUCUGAUUUUUAUUCUGACUUUAUAAAAAAGAACUUUUACAAUUAUCCAUUAUGCUUGGAUAAAUGCGUGUGUAAAUAUUUGUUUGGGGUGGAGGAUGUACACUGAAAUGUUAACAUUAGAUUUCUGCGGAGGAUGAGUUGGAAGGAAUGAAGGAGACAUUAAUAUCUUUUUCUGGCAGGGCACGGUGGCUCACACCUGUAAUCCCAGCAUUUUGGAAGGUGGAGGUGGGCGGAUCACCUGAGAUGGACUCAACGACUCUCUUACCGUCCAGCUCUCAAGUCCCUUCUCUUGUGAAAAUGGA
rnacentral:lncRNA from 1 species